CUCUGUUUUUGGAUUCUUGGUUCACCGUGGAGGCAUGUGAGAGAAACAAAGUCUUGUUCAACGAGCAGGAUUAUAGAAGAACUACUGGCCCAACCUUCAUGACACUUGGUGGAAGAGUGUAGCAUAGCCAAGGAAGAACCCAUAAAAUGUUGAAGCGGAUACAAAUCACAAGGGGGCCCUCGUCCACCAAAUAUUUGCCCUGCUCUUGGUGCUAUCUCAGUUGAGGGCCUGUCCGCUCCUCCCUGCAGCUCUGCUGGCCUGUUCCAGCCGUUACAGUGUGGGGAGGCCAUGAUAAGGUUAUCAGACAGUUACUCUGAAAGAGCCUGCUGCCCUCAGAUCACACCCCCCCCCCCUGCUCCCACUCACUCUGACUUCCCACUCAGCAUGUCCCCUCUCCUGUCAUCCCUUCUACAGCUUCUGCACAUCCAACCUCUGGACCUGCAGCUGGCGCUUUCCUAUCCCGUUUAUCAUCUCAUGCACCUUGAGAUUUGCCCAUUGGAGGGGACCCUAUCCCCAGGACGACAUAGGAGCAGAAUGAAGGGGAUGGCAUAUGGUUCCUGGGAUACCACUCGCCACAUGGCUUACAUCCAAGCCAGUAUCAGCGCUCACCACUGCUGAUAUAUUUUAUUGGCACGCCAGACAGGCGUGUUGAUAAAUUCAUCUUUUGCAAGAAAUGCAAAUGCAUUUUGUGAGGAAUUAAUGUAAAUGUGGCCUGCUCAAUGAAAAGUUAAUGAAGAGUCCAAAGGUCAUUAAACAUCACAAUUUAGAAACUUAAAAUGAAU